AACGAACGCUGGCGGCAUGCCUAACACAUGCAAGUCGAACGCUCCGAAAGGGGAGUGGCAGACGGGUGAGUAACACGAGGGAAUCUUCCUAGUGGUACGGCAUAGAUCAGGUACACUAGGGUAAUACCGUAUAAGCCCAUGAGGGGAAAGAUUUCUAGACGAUAGAUGAGCCCGCAUCUCAUUAGCUAGUUGGUGAGGUAACGGCUCACCAAGGUGACGAUAAGUAGAUUGUCUGAGAGGAUUACCAGCCACGCUGGGACGGAGACACGGUCCAGACUCCUACGGGAGGCAGCAGUGGGGAAUCUUGGACAAUGGGCGCAAGCCUGAUCCAGCCAUGCCGCGUGAGUGACGAAGGUGGUCGGAUUGUAAAGCUCUUUUGCCAGGGACGAUAAUGACGGUACCUGGAGAAUAAGCCCCGGCUAACUUCGUGCCAGCCGCCGCCGUAACAC
rnacentral:rRNA from 1 species